GUGCUCGCUUCGGCAGCACGUAUACUAAAAUUGGAACAAUACAGAGAUUAGCAUGGCUCCUGUGCAAAGAUGACCCGCAAAA
rnacentral:snRNA from 1 species